UUUGGGAAAAAAAAAAAAAGUCCAGCACCGAAGAGCUCAGAGUGUAGGGCAUGCGCACUGCCGGCGCCACCAAAACGCGCAGGCGCCGUGAGCUGCGCGCCUGCAAGGGGCAAUUUGGGAUCUCUGGUGUGCAGCAAGGGCUGGUGCUCGGAGGGCCCUUGUUGGGGUCUUGAAUAGGGUGGGUCCAAUAAAGAGAGUCUGUAGUCGGGUAGGUGUAGUGUACUUGUUCUGACAUCUACAGGACCAACCCCAGACCUGGAGAUCUCCGGAGUGGAUCGCAGCACCCUCCCACCCCACACUCCCCGCGAAUCGCGAGGCGCUUCUGGGGCUGAGGGGCAGCGAGAGCAGGGCACUAGUACUGGAUGCGGGUUAUUUUUUUAUCCUCUGCAUUCUGACAGUAGAGGGUGGGAGAUAGGGGUUUGAAGAGGACUGCUGAGCAGUGUUGGGCCAAGGAAGCUUUGGCAUUUGAAUGCUAUAGCUUAGCCCAAGUCAGGCCCAGACCUCAUUCCUUCUGGUCGCAGAAGUCAGGUGCCUAGCUUUGGGCUCAGUGACAGAAGUCUGAAGGUCCUGGAGAUCAGAGUGUUUAAGCACAGAAAUUUGAGAUUGAGAAUGAAUUUUACAGUUGCUGUGUGUAGUCAGAAGAUGAUUGCAUCUUUUUACACCUGUUUUUGACCAUCACAUUUCAAAAACUGUAAAGUACCUUGGAAGAAAAUUGGAAGACUCCAAGUCUUGAACAUGAAGAAAUGACUACAUCAAAAAAAGCAAAACUGAAAACAGAGAGUGGAAGAUCAUUCCAACAGGCCUGGACAGAGUUUUUUGGAGCGAUUGAACGCAAUGGGAAAGUGUUCUGUGUUCUGUGUGGUGAAAGUAUUGUGUGUCGCACAUCAAGUGUUAGACGGCACUUUGACACCAACCACAAAAGUGUUGCUCAACUUGGGGAAACUGAAAGGAAAGAGUUUCUAGAAGGAAAAUUGAGGAAAUGUCAUUCCCAAUAUCUUAUUUAUUGCAACUAUCUUUCUAAAACAAAUCAUCUGACUGCUGCCAGCUUUCAAAUUUUACUGUGCAUAGCAAAAUACGGUAAGCCCCUCUCUGAUGGAGAUUUUAUUAAAAUGGCCAUGUUGUCUGGGAGUGAGUCCCUUUUUCAUGAUUUCCUAAACAAGGAUAAAAUUAUGCAACACAUCUCUGAGAUGCCACUUAGCAGAAAUAAAAGAUCGAGUCCUGCACAUGGCAAAUGAUGUUAGUCAGCAGCUCACCACUGAUUUACAAAAGGCAGCCUGUUACUCCAUGUGCUUGUAUGAAAGCACAGAUAUAAAUAAUCAUGCAAAACUAGCAGUAAUUUUGCGUUAUGCAGUUGGUGACAUUGUGAGAGAAGAGCUGGUGAAGCUGGUCUCUUUGCCUGGAAGAACAGAAGGGGUAGAUAUCUACAGUGUGUAAUGGAGGCUUUUUUGUCACAAGACAUAAGACCAGAAAACGUGGUUUCAAUUACUAGUGACGGGGCACCUCACAUGGUUGGGGAAACAUCUGGUUUCAUACAGUUUUUUAUUAAAGAAGCAAAACAUCCAAUCAUUCAGUUUCAUUGUAUUAUACAUCAAGAAGCUCUUUGUACCAGGGAAAGCCGCAAAAAAUUAGAUGAUAUCCUCAAAGAUGGUGAAUUAUAUCAUGGCUCAUGCUCGUAAUUUUCGACAGUUCCAAGCACUGCUUGAUGAGGUUCAGGCACAGUACAGUGCUUUACUCAUGUCCAGUCAUGUCUGGUGGCUGAGCAGAGGACAAGUCCUGGAGAGAUUUGUAGCCUGUUUGGAUAAAAUCAGGCUGUUUAUGAGGGAAAAAGGGCAUGACCACACACAGCUCACUGAUGUGACCUAGCUUACUAACCUCAUGUUUUUUUUUACAGAUUUUAUACUACAUUUCAAUGUACUGAACAAAAAAACUACAAAGUGUAGGGAAAACAGCUGAAAGAAUGUUUUAUGAUAUUAAAACAUUUGAGAAAAAACUGCAGGUUUUUGAGAGAGACCUUGAAAGUGGGCAGCUGAAAUAUUUUCUAAAUCUAAAAAUACAUUUAGAAAAUUCUACAACUUUUACAGACAAUCCUACAGGCCAACAGGAAAUCUAUAAGGAAUUUUCUAGCAUUGUGGCAACUGCAAAGGCAAAUUUUAGUAACAGAUUUUUACAGUUCCAUAGGGUGGAGGCAACCCUGUGUUUUCUUACUUCUCCAGAUAAAGUCAAAUUUGAAGAACUUGACCUUUCCUGCUUAUACUGGUUAGAUUUUGGAAAUCUGGAAAUGGAGCUAUUGGAAUUUCAGGAAAGCUCUAUCUGGAAAAAUAAAUUCUAUGACCUGCAUGCAACACUUGAGAAGAUAGAGAUGGUAGAGUGUGAAGGGGUGGCAAAGGACGGAACAGUUGGUAGUUCUGAAAAUGAAAUCCUUAAAGUGUGGAAUUCUCUGCCAAAUAAUUUUAAGUCCAUGAAAGCAGUUGGGAUUGCUUUUCUUACUUUGUUUGGAUCAUCUUAUACUUGUGAGCAGCUGUUUUCAGCUUUGAAUUGUAUCAAAUCUGACACAAGAAAACAGACAGAUGAUGUGAGUGCUGCAUGUGUUGCUCUCAAACUAACGAAGUAUGAGCCAAGGUUUGACAGAUUAUCAGCAUGCAUACAGCAGCAAAGAUCACAUUAAUUGUGAAGCAGCUUGCCAAAUCCAAGCUUUUGCCUUCCAAUAAACAGCUGUAUCUUGAAAA